GGGCGGUUAGCUCAGCUGGCAGAGCGUCUGUCUUACACACAGAAGGCCACUGGUUCGAUCCCGGUACCGCCCACCA
rnacentral:tRNA from 1 species